rnacentral:misc_RNA from 1 species
CGUUCCAUGGAACAAGACAAUGCCGCCACACGUUGGUAAAAUAUCAAGCUAAAUUCACCUGAGAUUGUGCUGCCGCCUAUACAAACUCAGUCGCCAUAUUCGUUUCCGCUAGUCGGACCCCAGUGGAAGGUAAACUUCGUUGAUUAGACGCUCGUUUCCAUUUGUACAAUCGUCAUCAUUUGUUUGCAAAAUAUAUAAAUACAAAUAACAGUCAUGCGAACGAACGAACCUUUUCGUGGGGCUUGAAAAAUUCUUUAUAAUCAAGUGAAUUUCUGAAUUGUCAUGAAAUUUCAUCGUACCCGAAUUCAACGGGUCGAUUGAGUAAAAGCAAGAUUCGAUGCGGAAUUAUUUGAAUAACGGUAUUUUCGUAUCAAAACAUUCCAUGUCAAUUCGUCGAUUAUUGCAGUUUGCUGCAUGUCAUUUUUUUCUUUCAACAAACUGUUACAGCAACAUACUUGAAAAUUUAAAUACUCUGUAUAACAAUAAACUACAAAAUUUUGUUUAUUAAAUAAAACAUCCUUAAAUGUCUAGAACAAUUGAUGAAAAUCGCGAUGUUACAAAUGUUUCAAUUGUGUUGACAUUUCCAUUAAAAAAAAUAUACAUCCAUCUGUCAUAAUAAAAUAUUAAAAAAUCCAGGGUUUCAUUUUGAUUAUACUAUGAUUAUGCUAUAUGGGAAAAUCCAUUGACUUCACUACACAUCAAAACAGUUUCAAUAAAUAAAUUAAUUAAAAUUACUACUAUUUUUAACUUUUCUGAUAAUUGCAUACAACAAAUUUCAUUUAUUUUUCCUAGCAGAAUAAUAAAAAAAAAUUAUACAUAUUUUUCUUAAUUCAAAUGAAAUCCUUAGAAACCACAGAGGCAAAGCAUCCAAAUUGAAGAAAAUUUUUAUUGAUGUAUAAAAAUUAAUUAAGUAUUGUCUUUAAAAUUAAAAAAAAAAUGAAUACAAAAAUUGAUU